rnacentral:rRNA from 1 species
AUGCACCCGUUCGAGCUCGACGGCCAGCCGUGCUUCCCGGUGCACGCCACCGGCUAUCAGAGGGGCGUCCACUUUUGGGUCAUGUCGCCCCCGCCGGAGGACGACAAACAGCCGCAGUGGGAUCUGCGCUGUAGCUUUGAGAUCAAUCGGCUCGCUAGCCACUUCGGUCCUUCGAGCGCCUGGGUUGACGAUGGCGAGAUGCUCUGCUACAUGCUGGGUGGCACCUUGUACAUGUAUGGCAUGAAAGCACAUUCACCGCCGACUUCCAACCAUGCUCGAUGGUUGGAGUGGGACCAACGGAUCAGUCUCAAAGAGAUUCCCUUAUGGCGGGAACCUUCGGUAUGCCGGUGGAACAUCUACGGGGGUUACCGUCCCACCCUGCUCUCGCCUCUCGUCUUUACGUUGCCGCCUUCAAGAUGA